UACGAAGGGUGCAAGCGUUAAUCGGAAUUACUGGGCGUAAAGCGUGCGUAGGUGGUUCGUUAAGUUCGUUGUGAAAGCCCCGGGCUCAACCUGGGAAUGGCAAUGGAAACUGGCGGGCUGGAGUAUGGCAGAGGGGGGUGGAAUUCCGCGUGUAGCAGUGAAAUGCGUAGAGAUGCGGAGGAACACCGAUGGCGAAGGCAGCCCCCUGGGUCAACACUGACGCUCAUGCACGAAAGCGUGGGGAGCAAACAGG
rnacentral:rRNA from 1 species